rnacentral:lncRNA from 1 species
AGAACGUAUCCUGUAAGGAUUCCAUUAAUAUAAAAUUCAAAUAUUGGCGGGACUGGAGAAGCUUCUUUUAAAUCACCAAUGAAAUUCUCCUCAGGCCAGGCAAUGCAACUCCUCUAACUUUUCUCACUGCUAAUAUAUAUAUAAUUUCCAUUCUCUGAGUGCCUGCUGUGUGUCAGGCAUUAUAGUAAGUGCUUUCCACAAACAGUUGCAUUUAAUCCUUCAAUAGACCUUUGAAGCAGGUACUGUUAUGCCCAUUUUACUGAUUAGGAGACUGAGGUUUAGAGAGAUCAAGUGUUUUCCCUGGGGUCAAACUACCAGCAAGUGCUAGCGGCUAAAAUCAGCCCAUUUCCUCCUGAUUCCUUGCACCAUGCUCUGUAUGGCUCGUGAGUCCUCAGUGGUUGGAAAGCAGGGAGGCCAGUGUGGGUGCUGAAAACCACACCUCCCGUGUGACCGCUAGAGAGUCAUCCCACCAUGUGGGCUGAUGCCUUCCUAUUGCAGUUGUGAGCAUGCAAAGUGGCUGCCGUGAACCUUCCCAGUCACAGGGAUGUGACAGUGACCUGAACAGACAAAACUCCCUGCACCCAACAGCAUCUUAAGGCAGAGAGGAAUAAUGGACACAAACACAAGAAAGAAGAGGCCCCAAAAUUGAGCCCUGGAGCACGCUGACACAUGUGGUCAUGGAAAUGAAGAAGGACUCACAAAGGGACUUGGACAAGUGGCCAAGAAGUAGGAGAGCCAAGAACCUGGCGCAGUCCCCAGCAUCCAAGCUAAGGAAGUGUGCUCACUGAAUGGAUGGUUGACCCAAUCUUGAGGUGAUUUCAACAUCAAACCCAACUCACAGCAACACAGUCCUAGUGAGUCUUAUCAAAUAGAGACCUGGGAUCGUCCUACAUCCAGGGCCGUAUUGGCCUUCACUCUAAUUUUUCCUUAAAUAGACAGUAGCAGAGUGGAGGAGGAGGGGAAAAUAUCUCUGGGGCCAGUGUGCCAUCACCAGGAUUUCCGUGAUAAUCAUCCACACUGGUCAGUCGUUUAUGGGAAUAUGAUCCGAGUGCCAGCAAAGGCCUCCCUGUCUGUCUGGCUUCUGCACCCA